GUGAUUUUCACUUACAUAGAGUACUAAUUUGAUUAAGGAAAAAUCAUGUUCAUUCAUAAUUUCCAUACUGUCAUGCCUAUUCCCCAAUAUCGUCAACGCGGAUAGUUCGUUAGUCGAAAAUACUGAAUAAUUAAACAAACCAAAUGGCAUCACUGGUGGUUCUUUUUUCCACUCCGCUAAACUGUCAUCUCAAACAAAAACGAAGUAACAAUGGUAUUGCGAAGAACUUUCCCCAUUAGAGGUUCCGUGCUUCGCGCACAUUCAAAAAUCCUCUUCAGAUACGAAAACUCAUCGACAAGGAGGUAUUUAUCAACUUGCUCAGCUGAAUUACCACCCGGAGGAACCCGAAUGCACUGAUUCCGUUGUAUAGUAGAAUGAAAAUAGGCGAGGUAAGCGAACGUAAUCGCAUGAUAUUUUAAUGUUCGCAUUUUUAUCCGGAUCAUACAACUGCUAUGAAUACAUCCGACUCAAUCAAUCGGCGAGUGAGAAAGAUGAUUUCCCUCAUCACCACAUUGCUUAUUUCCACAUCUGUCACGCCAGCCAACAGCAUCAGCUUUCCCGCAGCAGUAUCCUUUAAGUCCAGGGUGCUAUUCCGGGGAACAGCAUCAACAGUAACAGCAGCAGGACCUGGCCAUCGAUAGUAUUUCGAGCAAUUUUCCCCAUCGGAGAUCCUGUGCUUCACGCACAUUGAAGAAUCCUCCUCAGCCACAUAUCUGUGUCAUCAAGGGCAAGGAGGUAUUCAUCAAUGUACUCAGUCGGAUUUGAAUCGUUAAUCCAGACAACCCGGAUGCACCGAUUCCAUUAUAUACCUUAUUUUUAUUAUACAUGGAUUUUUAUUAUUUUUUUUCAAUAAAAUGAUUAAAAUCGA